rnacentral:rRNA from 1 species
AUUGAACGCUGGCGGCAUGCCUUACACAUGCAAGUCGAACGGCAGCACGGGUGCUUGCACCUGGUGGCGAGUGGCGAACGGGUGAGUAAUACAUCGGAACAUGUCCUGUAGUGGGGGAUAGCCCGGCGAAAGCCGGAUUAAUACCGCAUACGAUCUACGGAUGAAAGCGGGGGACCUUCGGGCCUCGCGCUAUAGGGUUGGCCGAUGGCUGAUUAGCUAGUUGGUGGGGUAAAGGCCUACCAAGGCGACGAUCAGUAGCUGGUCUGAGAGGACGACCAGCCACACUGGGACUGAGACACGGCCCAGACUCCUACGGGAGGCAGCAGUGGGGAAUUUUGGACAAUGGGCGAAACCCUGAUCCAGCAAUGCCGCGUGUGUGAAGAAGGCCUUCGGGUUGUAAAGCACUUUUGUCCGGAAAGAAAUCCUUGGCCCUAAUACGGUCGGGGGAUGACGGUACCGGAAGAAUAAGCACCGGCUAACUACGUG